rnacentral:rRNA from 1 species
GACGAACGCUGGCGGCGUGCUUAACACAUGCAAGUCGAACGAUGAAACCUAGCUUGCUAGGUCGAUUAGUGGCGAACGGGUGAGUAACACGUGACUAACCUGCCCCUUUCUCUGGGAUAACGCUCCGAAAGGAGUGCUAAUACCGGAUACUCACACCUCGGCACAUGCCUUGGUGUGGAAAGUUUUUCGGAAAGGGAUGGAGUCGCGGCCUAUCAGCUUGUUGGGGAGGUAACGGCUCACCAAGGCGACGACGGGUAGCCGGCCUGAGAGGGCGCCCGGCCACACUGGGACUGAGACACGUCCCAGACUCCUACGGGAGGCAGCAGUGGGGAAUAUUGCACAAUGGGCGCAAGCCUGAUGCAGCGACGCCGCGUGAGGGAUGAAGGUCUUCGGAUUGUAAACCUCUUUCAGUAGGGACGAAGCGAAAGUGACGGUACCUAAAGAAGAAGCACCGGCUAACUACGUGCCAGCCGCCGCCGUAA